rnacentral:tRNA from 1 species
CAGAUUUUGGAAAUUGUUUUAUUUACAAUAAAAUUUAUAGUUGUUCAAUUCAACUGAAUCUGA